GACAACAUUUUGAAAAGUCCGUGCAAUAUAGCUGGGCCAAGAAAGAUCCAAAUGAAUCUAGCACAUUUACAACUUGUUGCUUGUUUUCAUCCUUGGUACCAUCACUGCACUCCAUACUUUGACAACUAGACUUGUGACAACUCAAUACAAACCAUAACAUCAAUUUUGAACCUUUUUUUUUUGAUUAAUUUUGUCCUUAUGAUUUUCAUGCAGGCAAAGCAGUAAGAGAAGUUUGGCUAGAAAGUUAAGUGGAGAAAGGGGAGAUUCUGACUUGAGUCGUUGGGAAUUAAAAGAUGGGCAGCAGUGGACUAACAUUUUGUAAUAGAAGAUUGACAUUGACUUUUAGAAUAACUAUCUACUAGUAAAUAUAAGAGGCAAAUGAUCAUGAAUGAAUGACUAUGGCUUUUUUAGUGAUGGAAAAGUUGAGAAAAGAAAAUAGUGCUGCCCUUUCCCAGUUGCAAACUUCUACACAAGAUUUUUUAUUAUAUAGCAAUGUUGUAUGAAGUGAUGGUUAUGAUUAAUUUAUUAUUCCUUAUUAUGAUUGUAGAUUUUGUAAUAUACUCAUAUGAUUUUUUUUAAUGUGCUUGGAGUGCACCUUAACUUGCAAACAGUUAUUUUAAUUCUUUGAACUGACCAAACUUGGCUUGGCAACAGUCGCCUACAUCUUACGUGCCAAUACAAAGAUAAUGUCCCUUUCUAGUAGUCAAAGGGCAAAAUUGAAUGAAACAAGUUUUGACUAAUAAUUAAUACCAAAUGUCAGCUUGACUCAUUUGCUAAACCAAAAACUAUUCAACCUUAAAUUUGGAAGCGAAAACUUUCAUUUUGUUCAAACUUUAGUGCUACAAGGCUCCAUUCGCCUCCGGGCAAAAUGCUAUUAUUACCCCUUUGCUAUUAAAUAGUACUCCCUCUGUUUCACAUUGAAUGAGAUAGUUUGACUCGGCACGGAGUUUAAGAAAAAAGAAAA
rnacentral:lncRNA from 1 species